rnacentral:lncRNA from 1 species
CCAGCUAAGCAGUAGGUUCUUAGGAAAACUGUGUGUCUUGGAGAAUGAAUUUCCAUCAGAGGAAUGAGACCAGCCUGGGAGGACGUCACAGAAGACUGGAAAGAUGAGAACUGAGGCAACAGGGAGCCGCUUGUCUGAACUCUCAUCUGGACUGGUGGAAGUCCAGGGUGCUGGCGGUGAGAGAACAAAGUAGACUCGGACUGCCCUGGAAAAUGCAGAACCCUGGGCACGUAGGACCAAAAGGGGAAUCAAGACUGAGACUGUCACUGAAGCAUAAAUUCAAAGAGAUGCAGAUGAGAGGAGGGGCCUGGUGGAAGAUGAAAGUCUGGAAAACUGUGAUGCCAGACAAGAAGUGGACUCUGUGCGGAGGUUGGAGUGCAGUGGUGUGAAUAUGGUUUACUGAGGCCUCAAUCUCCUGGGUUCAAGUGAUCUUCAUAUCUCAGCCUUCUGAGUAGCUGG